rnacentral:piRNA from 1 species
UGGGAGCCUGGGUCUUAGAACUGACCCCUGU